GAUGAACGCUGGCGGCGUGCUUAACACAUGCAAGUCGAGCGAUGAAGUUUCCUUCGGGAAACGGAUUAGCGGCGGACGGGUGAGUAACACGUGGGUAACCUGCCUCAUAGAGUGGAAUAGCCUUCCGAAAGGAAGAUUAAUACCGCAUAAUGUUGAAAGAUGGCAUCAUCAUUCAACCAAAGGAGCAGUCCGCUAUGAGAUGGACCCGCGGCGCAUUAGCUAGUUGGUGAGGUAACGGCCCACCAAGGCGACGAUCGGUAGCCGGACUGAGAGGUUGAACGGCCACAUUGGGACUGAGACACGGCCCAA
rnacentral:rRNA from 1 species